rnacentral:rRNA from 1 species
CGCGAGGUAACUCGGCCAAACUGAUUGGGAGCAUAAAUGUAAAUUUUAAUACAGGAGUUAAAUCUUUAAAUUUACUUAAUUCUUUUUCUCAUAGCAAGACACCAGGAAACUCAGUUAUGGAACCAGGAUUAGAUACCCUGCUACCACUGAGAGUAAAUAUUACUAACCUGGGUAUUACGAGUGUGUUUUCUUAAAACCUAAAGAGUUUGGCGGUUCUAUAAAAAGCCAGGGGAGCAUGGCCUGUUAGCGACAAUCCCCGAAAAUUUUACCUUUCCUUCCUAAGUUUAUAUAUCCCCGUAUAAGCUACAAUUAUAAUUUAAAAGAAGUAACACUAACUUAUUGAGUUGGCUAAUCAGGUCGAGGUGUAGCUAAUGGAGAGGCAAGAGCUGUGCUACGUUAAAGGGAACAUUUAAUGGAUAUUGGAUUGAAAAAUUCGAUGGAAAAAGUACUUGGUAGUAAGGGAGUUUUAACAAGGUUCUCUGAAGAAAUAAAAAUAGAGCGUACAAAUCGCCCGUCAAUCCCUCCUAUUAGGAGGGAUAA